rnacentral:tRNA from 1 species
GCGGGCGUGGUGGAAUCGGUAGACACAAGGGACUUAAAAUCCCUCGGCUUCGGCCUUGCGGGUUCGAUCCCCGCCGCCCGCA